rnacentral:misc_RNA from 1 species
AGAGUCCGGUUCACAACAAAUAUUCAAUUUUAUUUUUUUGCAAAAGGAAAAAAAUGAUUUAACAUUACAACUCGGAAUUAUCAGAACCAGUUAAAAUCACUACAAUUGGCAGCAUAAAUGAUCCAAUUCACAACAAGCAUUCAAUUCUAAUCAGAUGAAAAUCCGAUUCGAUUUAAUAUUACAAGUCGGAAUUAUAAGGACUAGUAAGAAUCGCUAUAAUUGGCAGCAUAAAUGGUUCGAUUCACAACAAGUAUU